rnacentral:misc_RNA from 1 species
UCUCCGUAGGUGAACCUGCGGAGGGAUCAUUACAGAGUUCAUGCCCUACCGGGUAGAUCUCCCACCCUAUGUUAUUAUUACUUUGUUGCUUUGGCGGGCCGUUAGGCUCCGGCCCGACUACCGGCCCCGGGUGGUAAGCGCCCGCCAGAGGACCCAAAACCCUGAAUAUUAGUGUCGUCUGAGUCCUAUAUAAUAGUUAAAACUUUCAACAACGGAUCUCUUGGUUCUG